UACGUAGGGCGCAAGCGUUGUCCGGAAUUAUUGGGCGUAAAGAGCUCGUAGGCGGCUUGUCACGUCGGGUGUGAAAGCCCGGGGCUUAACCCCGGGUCUGCAUUCGAUACGGGCUAGCUAGAGUGUGGUAGGGGAGAUCGGAAUUCCUGGUGUAGCGGUGAAAUGCGCAGAUAUCGGGAGGAACACCAGUGGCGAAGGCGACUACCUGGCCUGUUCUUGACGCUGAGGCGCGAAAGCUAGGGGAGCAAACGGG
rnacentral:rRNA from 1 species